CACGUAGGGGGCGAGCGUUGUCCGGAUUUAUUGGGCGUAAAGAGCGUGUAGGCGGCCAGGUAGGUCGGCUGUGAAAACUCGAGGCUCAACCUCGAGCUGUCGGCCGAAACCAUCUGGCUAGAGUCCGGAAGAGGAGAAUGGAAUUCCCGGUGUAGCGGUGAAAUGCGCAGAUAUCAGGAGGAACACCGAUGGCGAAGGCAGGUCUCUGGGCAUUAACUGACGCUGAGGAGCGAAAGCAUGGGGAGCGAACAGG
rnacentral:rRNA from 1 species